GGCGAAAUAAGUCACUCACUCUGCUCAGGUGCAGCACCAGGCGAAAUAAGUCACUCACUCUCUCACGCGUGCAGUACCAGGUGAAAUAAGUCCCUCACUCUCUCACGCGUGCAGUAC